GACGAACGCUGGCGGCGUGCUUAACACAUGCAAGUCGAACGGAAAGGCCCUGCUUGCAGGGUACUCGAGUGGCGAACGGGUGGGUAACACGUGGGUGAUCUGCCCUGCACUUCGGGAUAAGCUUGGGAAACUGGGUCUAAUACCGGAUAGGAACCAUCUUUAGUGUGGUGGUUGGAAAGUUUUUUCGGUGUAGGAUGAGCUCGCGGCCUAUCAGCUUGUUGGUGGGGUAAUGGCCUAUCAAGGCGGCGACGGGUAGCCGGCCUGAGAGGGUGUACGGCCACAUUGGGACUGAGAUACGGCCCAGACUCCUACGGGAGGCAGCAGUGGGGAAUAUUGCACAAUGGGCGCAAGCCUGAUGCAGCGACGCCGCGUGGGGGAUGAAGGCCUUCGGGUUGUAAACUCCUUUCGCUAGGGACGAAGCGUUGUUGUGACGGUACCUAGAUAAGAAGCACCGGCUAACUACGUG
rnacentral:rRNA from 1 species